rnacentral:rRNA from 1 species
UGAGGAAUAUUGGUCAAUGGACGAGAGUCUGAACCAGCCAAGUAGCGUGAAGGAUGACUGCCCUAUGGGUUGUAAACUUCUUUUAUACGGGAAUAAAGUGAGGCACGUGUGCCUUUUUGUAUGUACCGUAUGAAUAAGGAUCGGCUAACUCCGUGCCAGCAGCCGCGGUAAUACGGAGGAUCCGAGCGUUAUCCGGAUUUAUUGGGUUUAAAGGGAGCGUAGGCGGACGCGUAAGUCAGUUGUGAAAGUUUGCGGCUCAACCGUAAAAUUGCAGUUGAUACUGGGUGGCUGGAGUACAGUAGAGGCAGGCGGAAUUCGUGGUGUAGCUGUGAAAUGCUUAGAUAUCACGAAGAACUCCGAUUGCGAAGGCAGCUUGCUGGACUGUAACUGACGCUGAUGCUCGAAAGUGUGGGUAUCAAACA